GAGUUUGAUCGUGGCUCAGGAUGAACGCUAGCGGGAGGCCUAACACAUGCAAGCCGAGCGGUAUUGUUUCUUCGGAAAUGAGAGAGCGGCGUACGGGUGCGGAACACGUGUGCAACCUGCCUUUAUCUGGGGGAUAGCCUUUCGAAAGGAAGAUUAAUACUCCAUAAUAUAUUGAACGGCAUCGUUUAAUAUUGAAAGCUCCGGCGGAUAGAGAUGGGCACGCGCAAGAUUAGCUAGUUGGUGAGGUAACGGCUCACCAAGGCGAUGAUCUUUAGGGGGCCUGAGAGGGUGAUCCCCCACACUGGUACUGAGACACGGACCAGACUCCUACGGGAGGCAGCAGUGAGGAAUAUUGGUCAAUGGGUGCAAGCCUGAACCAGCCAUCCCGCGUGAAGGACGACUGCCCUAUGGGUUGUAAACUUCUUUUGUAUAGGGAUAAACCUACCCUCGUGAGGGUAGCUGAAGGUACUAUACGAUAAGCACCGGCUAACUCCGUGACAGCCGCCG
rnacentral:rRNA from 1 species